UUGGGAAUAUUGCACAAUGGGCGCAAGCCUGAUGCAGCCAUGCCGCGUGUGUGAAGAAGGCCUUCGGGUCGUAAAGCACUUUCAGCGGGGAGGAAGGCGGUGAGGUUAAUAACCUCAUCGAUUGACGUUACCCGCAGAAGAAGCACCGGCUAACUCCGUGCCAGCAGCUGCGGAAAUACGGAGGGUGCAAGCGUUAAUCGGAAAUACUGGGCGUAAAGCGCACGCAGGCGGUCUGUCAAGUCUGAUGUGAAAGCCCCGGGCUCAACCUGGGAACUACAGUCGAAACUGGCAGGUUAGAGUCUUGUAGAGGGGGGUAGAAUUCCAGGUGUAGGGGUGAAAUGCGUAGAGGUCUGGAGGAAUACCGGUGGCGAAGGCGGCCCCCUGGACAAAGACUGAAGAUCAGGUGCGAAAGCGUGGGGAGCAAACAGG
rnacentral:rRNA from 1 species